ACCACUUUUUUAAUUUGGAUUAGAGUAUAACCGGAUCAUCUCAAAUAUGAUCUCAAAUAUGAUCCAAGCUUAAAUAAAUGAGAUUGAGUUGAACUUGAUUGAAUGCCUCGAUUAGAGGUUAGGUUGGAUUGAGUUAGGAUUGCAUCAAGGUUAGCCCAUCAACCCCACCAAUCCACUCAAAUUACGGUCCUACAUUUUCUUCCCCUUCCCAUAAGGCUAAUCCCAUAAAUUCCAACCUCACUCAUGGGGGGUGUGGUUUUUUGGUUUACUCUUAUUCUUUCUGAACUUUUUCACCGCGAAAGAGAAUGAAAAUUUCUAGUGAACAAAACCUAAAUCGAACUCUUUCCCAUCUUCUAUCUUCAUCUCCAAUGACCCAACAAAGUUUAACCCCCCAGAAUUCCCAGAUACCAAUAUUAUUCUCUUAUCCAGUGGAUGAUUCACUAGAUUUGCAGUUGCAGGUGAUGAUGGCUUCAGAAAAGGUGGGUGGUUAUGGGGGAUUUGAAGGAGAUGGUUGUUUCAACAUUCAACAGAUGGCUGCUUAAGUCUAGAGAUGGCUUUGAUGAUGAAGAUGAAGAUUGAGAUAAGGAUUACAGACGAAGAAUGAUGUGAUUGCUGUCCUUCAAUUGUUACCUUGGUCCCCCAUGGCCCUAGUUGUGUAAAAAGAUGGAAAAUGUAGAUGCAGUGGUCAUUUGGCUUCUGGCUUCUCAUAAUUAAAGGAAAG
rnacentral:lncRNA from 1 species